rnacentral:rRNA from 1 species
AUGAACGCUGGCGGCGUGCCUAAUACAUGCAAGUCGAGCGCACGGACGAGAAGCUUGCUUCUCUGAUGUUAGCGGCGGACGGGUGAGUAACACGUGGAUAACCUACCUAUAAGACUGGGAUAACUUCGGGAAACCGGAGCUAAUACCGGAUAAUAUUUUGAACCGCAUGGUUCAAAAGUGAAAGACGGUCUUGCUGUCACUUAUAGAUGGAUCCGCGCUGCAUUAGCUAGUUGGCAAGGUAACGGCUUACCAAGGCAACGAUGCAUAGCCGACCUGGGAGGGUGAUCGGCCACACUGGAACUGAGACACGGUCCAGACUCCUACGGGAGGCAGCAGUAGGGAAUCUUCCGCAAUGGGCGAAAGCCUGACGGAGCAACGCCGCGUGAGUGAUGAAGGUCUUCGGAUCGUAAAACUCUGUUAUUAGGGAAGAACAUAUGUGUAAGUAACUGUGCACAUCUUGACGGUACCUAAUCAGAAAGCCACGGCUAACUACGUG